rnacentral:rRNA from 1 species
ACGGGGGAUUAGGGUUCGAUUCCGGAGAGGGAGCCUGAGAAACGGCUACCACAUCUAAGGAAGGCAGCAGGCGCGCAAAUUACCCAAUUCUAACAGCAUAAGAGAGGUAGUGACAAGAAAUAACAAUACAAGGCAGUUAAAAUGCUUUGUAAUUGGAAUGAUAGAAAUUUAAACACUUUUUAAAGUAUCAAUUGGAGGGCAAGUCUGGUGCCAGCAGCCGCGGUAAUUCCAGCUCCAAUAGCGUAUAUUAAAAUUGUUGCAGUUAAAAAGCUCGUAGUUGAAUUUCUGUUAAAAAUAACCGGUCUGCUUUUAACAAAAGUGGUAUCUUGGUGUGUUUUUAGCAAUAAUGUCCUUUGAAAUGUGUUUUACUUUGUUGUAAAAAACAAUAUUCAGGAUUUUUACUUUGAGAAAAUUAGAGUGUUUCUAGCAAGCUAAUGUUUUGAAUACUGCAGCAUGGAAUAAUAAAAUAGAAUUUUAGUUCUACAUUGUUGGUUUUAAGAGCUGAAUUAAUGAUUGAUAGGGACAGUUGGGGGCAUUUGUAUUUAACUGUC